UGUAUCUGAAGUCUGACGAGGAUGAGAACCUCCGGAGGGCAAAAGGUUCGACCCGAGCGAAGCGAGAAAAUGUUGCGUCAGCAACGGCCCGCAGGGCGAGCCAUCCUCUAUCACCGGCAG
rnacentral:sRNA from 1 species